GGGACUGCAUUCAACUUAGAACCAAAUGUUAAACAAACUGAGACAAAAUGGGAAUACAACAAUGUGGGCAUUGACUUGUCCCCUGAGCCCAAAAGCUUCAAUUACCCAUUGCUCUCAUCCCCAGGUGAUCAGCUUGAAAUUCAGCUAACCGAGCAGCUACGGUCCCUCAUCCCCAACGAGGAUGUGAGAAAGUUCAUGUCUCAUGUUAUCCGGACCUUGAAAAUGGAAUGUUCAGAAACACAUGUGCAAGGGAGCUGUGCCAAGCUCAUGUUGCAAACAGGCCUCCUGAUGAAGCUUCUCAGCGAGCAGCAGGAAGCAAAGGCAUUGAAUGUAGAAUGGGAUACGGACCAACAAAAAACAAAUUAUAUUAAUGAGAACAUGGAACAGAAUGAACAGAAAGAGCAGAAGUCAAGUGAGCUCAUGAAAGAAGUUCCAGGAUAUGACUAUAAGAACAAACUCAUCUUCGCAAUAUCUGUGACUGUAAUACUAAUAAUUUUGAUUAUAAUUUUUUGUCUUAUAGAGGUAAGGACAAUAAUUAAUUCAGGUUUUCAGAAUACAAUCCUGUGUUUGUGUGGAUUCAGAAUCCACAAACUGAAAACCAAUGUCACUUUCCCACUUGACAUUCUUCUUCUGUCAUUUAAGGCUGAGGUGUGCUUUGUUCUUUUACUGCAAUGUAUAUUCCAGGAUUUUUAAAGGAUCCUCGCUUCCAGGAGGUCUCUGUGAAAUAAAACCAAGUUAAUCCCACUAGACUAUUUUAAGAAGUUAAGUUGAUAUAAUAGCAAAAUUUCUCCCACGCAAAACUAUCUCAACAAUUGGAUGUACUCACUGAGUCACCCCUUACUCUGCCACUAAUUUAUUUCCUUGUUGCUUAAAUGAUGAGAGACAUAUAAUCUCCACCCUCACGGAGUUGUCAUCACCCUGGAGAGGAAGAAGACAGCCAAAAGAGAGAAGUAUUGUCUUGUAGACUUACUAGAUUCACAUAGAAUCAUCCUUCUCC
rnacentral:sRNA from 1 species